rnacentral:lncRNA from 1 species
GUGUAUUUCUAAACCUCCAUUUUGCUUCCCUUUGUAAGUUGUUGGUUUACUUUUAGUUAUAAGUUAAUCCCUCUUUUAGAGAGAUUAACAACUAGACAUAGAAUAUUUUUUAUCUAAACCAGUAUAAAAAUUAGCUUAACAAGCUUUUCUCUUUAUACUCUUUUAUUUACUUUCUCUUACUUGUCUUGAUUUUUGUGUGUUAUGAAGUUAUUUUUUAAAAACGGAAGUUAAUUUAAAAAGAAACUUAUUUUAUCGAAAAACCAAUUCAUCCCCUCUUAGUCGUUGUCCAUUCUUUAAACAUGUCAUUGUGCACUUUUAACAAUUUUUGGGCCCCAUGGCCUGCCCUGGCCUUCUCUAAAGCUAGGCCCCAUUUUCUUGACCCUCAACUUAGGGGGCUUUUUCAAAGUCCCUGACCUCCCACAAGAGAGUUAUUCCCUACACCACCACAGACUUCUACCUACACCUCUUCAUUCCUCUUUUGCCU